UACGUAGGGGGCAAGCGUUGCCCGGAAUCAUUGGGCGUAAAGAGCGCGUAGGCGGCCCUGUAAGUCCGCUGUGAAAGUCAAGGGCUCAACCCUUGAAUGCCGGUGGAUACUGCAGGGCUAGAGUCCGGAAGAGGCGAGUGGAAUUCCUGGUGUAGCGGUGAAAUGCGCAGAUAUCAGGAGGAACACCAAUGGCGAAGGCAGCACUCUGGGACGUGACUGACGCUGAGACGCGAAAGCGUGGGGAGCAAACAGG
rnacentral:rRNA from 1 species